GUUACGCAAGGCCUCCACUUCUCCCUCGUUAAAGGGGGUGACAGAGUUUCCAACCUCACGUGAGAGGAUGAGACGAGCUAUCCCUGCGGUCAUGGAAAGUGAAAAACACCAUGAGAGUGAACUGCAGGAUCAGCGGUCAGACCACCUUUGCUGUUGCCGGAGGGCACUGUAUCAAGUUGAAAUUCGGAAUAAUUUGUACGGCUAUCUGCAGAGAUGAUCAGCCAAUGAAGGCAGCAGCACAUAAAAAAGCAGCACACUGCAACUGGCCCCUCCGAGGACAGAAACAGGAGAGGAAAUACACGAUUACAGGCCUGGACUUUAUAUUUUUAGGGUAAGGCCACUUUGGCCUUUGAUAAAUACAAAUUUAUUGGGGCAUCACGGCCAAAAUGUGGGGCACCAAGGCCAAAACAAAUGGCGCAAUAACAAUAUGUGCUAAUUACAUUGAAUGAAGACAAAACAAUAUAUGUGUUGAAAAACAGCACUGACUUUAUUAAAACUGGGUGUGCAUGACUGGGGAUAUAUCUCGUUUCUUGUUGUUUUGAUUCAUGUCCCUUAUUUUUUAAGUCUUUGAAAUCUCUUUAUUCUUUUGUUAUCUCCUAGUUAUUAAGAAAUUAUUAUUAGAAGAAGAUUCUUUAUUGUCCUUUCUCAGCACAUAACAUACAUUGAAACUAAAUUUGACCUCUGUAUUUGAUCCAUCCUACUGUAUACACUGGGAGCAGUGGGCAGCUGCAGUGCAGCAUCCAGGGACCAACUCCAGUUCUUUUGCCAAUGCCAGUGGUCAGGGUCACUGACAGGUGUAUUCACCUAACAUAGCCUACAUAUCUUUAAUUAUAUAAUUAUUUAUAUGUCUCUAUGUAUAUUUUUAC